AAUCUUCUUCUUUUUCCCUUCCUUCUUUUUCUUCUUUUCUUCUUCCUCCUCUUUCUCCUUUUCUUCUUCUCUUAAAUCAGGAGGAGCGAGAAGGUGGGGAGAAAAAGAGGAACCACCAAGACAUCGCAAGGAAAGAAUAAUGUAAUCAAUGAUCUUUUGCCAUUGUCUUGGAACUUCUGUUUCAAGAAAAUGAUCACAUUCUUUU
rnacentral:ribozyme from 13 species